ACCUACGGGACGCAGCAGUGAGGAAUAUUGGUCAAUGGGCUUACGCCUGAACCAGCCAAGUCGCGUGAGGGAAGACUGCCCUAUGGGUUGUAAACCUCUUUUGUCAGGGAGCAACGCCGGCUACGUGUAGCCGGACUGAGAGUACCUGAAGAAAAAGCAUCGGCUAACUCCGUGCCAGCAGCCGCGGUAAUACGGAGGAUGCGAGCGUUAUCCGGAUUUAUUGGGUUUAAAGGGUGCGUAGGCGGUUUGAUAAGUUAGAGGUGAAAUACCGGAGCUCAACACCGUAACUGCCUCUAAUACUGUUG
rnacentral:rRNA from 1 species